ACAGGGAUUGCCUCAGUAACGGCGAGUGAAGCGGCAACAGCUCAAAUUUGAAAUCUGGCUCUUUCAGGGUCCGAGUUGUAAUUUGUAGAAGAUGCUUCGGGUGUGGUUCCGGUCUAAGUUCCUUGGAACAGGACGUCAUAGAGGGUGAGAAUCCCGUAUGUGACCGGCUACCUUCGCUCAUGUGAAGCUCUUUCGACGAGUCGAGUUGUUUGGGAAUGCAGCUCAAAAUGGGUGGUAAAUUUCAUCUAAAGCUAAAUAUUGGCCAGAGACCGAUAGCGCACAAGUAGAGUGAUCGAAAGAUGAAAAGCACUUUGGAAAGAGAGUUAAAUAGUACGUGAAAUUGUUGAAAGGGAAGCGCUUGCAAUCAGACUUGCACGCAGUUGAUCAUCCGGUGUUCUCACCGGUGCACUCUGCUGCGUUCAGGCCAGCAUCGGUUCUGGUGGUUGGAUAAAGGCCUUGGGAAUGUGGCUCCUCUCGGGGAGUGUUAUAGCCCUCGGUGCAAUGCAGCCUACCGGGACCGAGGACCGCGCUUCGGCUAGGAUGCUGGCGUAAUGGUUGUAAGCGACCCGUCUUGAAACACGGACCAAGGAGUCUAACAUCUAUGCGAGUGUUUGGGUGUCAAACCCAUACGCGUAAUGAAAGUGAACGGAGGUGAGAACCCUUAAGGGUGCAUCAUCGACCGAUCCUGAUGUCUUCGGAUGGAUUUGAGUAAGAGCAUAGCUGUUGGGACCCGAAAGAUGGUGAACUAUGCGUGAAUAGGGUGAAGCCAGAGGAAACUCUGGUGGAGGCUCGCAGCGGUUCUGACGUGCAAAUCGAUCGUCAAAUUUGCGCAUAGGGGCGAAAGACUAAUCGAA
rnacentral:rRNA from 1 species